AGGAGGAAGCUGGGGCCGCCGUCGGGCCUUCUCCCUCCAGGGGCCCAAGAGCCACUGGUACUCAGUGUCUGGGUGGGGGCAGGGGGGAUUUUUGUUCUCCCAGCACCUGCGGCUGUUGAGACCAGAGAAGCUGGUGGUCGACCACAGCCUGGGGUAUUAGUUCACCCCUAGCUUCUCCCCAGCGAGACCCCAGGGCCCUUGGGCACAGGGGAUUAAGCCUCUAUCUGCUUACGUGCAAGCGGAAGAAAUAGGCCCAGAGAGCAACAGUGGCGGGUCUGCAGUCACACAGCCAACUUGCGCUUGUGGCAGUGGCAAGGUUGGUGAGUAUCUGAGUCUUCAGGCCACGGCAUUUUCCGCUCGAGUGGAGCCUGCCUCAGCCUGUUCCUUUAACAUCAGCUUCUGAAACUAUCUCUGCAGAAGUUCUGAGGGUACCCCUCACUCAAGCUCCAGGCGUCAGGAAAAGAACAUUCCACGAAGUCCAUCUGGAAGACGGUCCUUUCCCUGCUGCCCCCAGCUUCUAGAACAUUCCCUGGAACACAGCAAGUGUUCAGUAUUGUUCAUGGAGUGACAGAUGUCUCAGCCAAGAAGGUACAAUCACAGGGAAGAAUGACUUCAACUGGUCUUGACUUCAACCUGCUUCCAGCCUGGUUCCCUUCUCCCACCUCCCUACAGCCCACA
rnacentral:lncRNA from 10 species